ensembl:lncRNA
ACUGAACCAGGACUGAACCAGGACUGAACCAGGUCUAAACCAGGACUGAACCAGGACUGAACCAGGUCUAAACCAGGACUAAACCAGGACUAAACCAGGACUGAACCAGGACUGAACCAGGACUAAACCAGGACUAAACCAGGUCUAAACCAGGUCUAAACCAGGUCUAAACCAGGACUGAACCAGGACUGAACCAGGACUGAACCAGGACUGAACCAGGACUAAACCAGGACUAAACCAGGACUAAACCAGGACUGAACCAGGACUGAACCAGGACUGAACCAGGACUGAACCAGGUCUAAACCAGGACUGAACCAGGACUGAACCAGGUCUAAACCAGGUCUAAACCAGGACUAAACCAGGACUAAACCAGGUCUAAACCAGGUCUAAACCAGGUCUAAACCAGGACUGAACCAGGACUGAACCAGGUCUAAACCAGGUCUAAACCAGGACUAAACCAGGACUAAACCAGGUCUAAACCAGGUCUAAACCAGGUCUAAACCAGGACAAAACCAGGACUAAACCAGGACUAAACUAGGUCUAAACCAGGACUAAACCAGGACUGAACCAGGACUAAACCAGGGCUAAACCAGGGCUGAACCAGGACUGAACCAGGACUGAACCAGGACUGAACCAGGACUGAA